rnacentral:rRNA from 1 species
CAGUCGAACGGAAGAAUACGGCGACGAGAUUUCGGUCAAAUCAAGUGUAUCUUUAGUGGCGGACGGGUGAGUAACGCGUGGGUAACCUGCCAUAUACAGGGGGAUAACACUUAGAAAUAGGUGCUAAUACCGCAUAAGCGCACAUGGCCGCAUGGCCAGGUGUGAAAAACUCCGGUGGUAUAUGAUGGACCCGCGUCUGAUUAGCUAGUUGGUGAGGUAACGGCCCACCAAGGCGACGAUCAGUAGCCGGCCUGAGAGGGUGGACGGCCACAUUGGGACUGAGACACGGCCCAAACUCCUACGGGAGGCAGCAGUGGGGGAUAUUGGACAAUGGGGGGAACCCUGAUCCAGCGACGCUGCGUGAGUGAAGAAGUAUCUCGGUAUGUAAAGCUCUAUCAGCAGGGAAGAAAGAAAUGACGGUACCUGAGUAAGAAGCCCCGGCUAACUACGUGCCAGCAGCCGCGGUAAUACGUAGGGGGCAAGCGUUAUCCGGAAUUACUGGGUGUAAAGGGAGCGUAGACGGUGAUGUAAGUCUGGAGUGAAAGGCGGGGGCCCAACCCCCGGACUGCUCUGGAAACUAUAUGACUGGAGUGCAGGAGAGGUGAGCGGAAUUCCUAGUGUAGCGGUGAAAUGCGUAGAUAUUAGGAGGAACACCAGUGGCGAAGGCGGCUCACUGGACUGUAACUGACGUUGAGGCUCGAAAGCGUGGGGAGCAAACAGGAUUAGAUACCCUGGUAGUCCACGCUGUAAACGAUGGAUGCUGGAUGUCGGGGAGUAAUCCCCGGUGUCGUAGCCAACGCGAUAAGCAUCCCGCCUGGGGAGUACGGUCGCAAGGC